UACGAAGGGGGCUAGCGUUGCUCGGAAUUACUGGGCGGAAAGGGAGCGUAGGCGGACAUUUAAGUCAGGGGUGAAAUCCCGGGGCUCAACCUCGGAAUUGCCUUUGAUACUGGGUGUCUUGAGUAUGAGAGAGGUAUGUGGAACUCCGAGUGUAGAGGUGAAAUUCGUAGAUAUUCGGAAGAACACCAGUGGCGAAGGCGACAUACUGGCUCAUUACUGACGCUGAGGCUCGAAAGCGUGGGGAGCAAACCGG
rnacentral:rRNA from 1 species